rnacentral:rRNA from 1 species
CCUACGGGAGGCAGCAGUGGGGGAUAUUGCACAAUGGGGGGAACCCUGAUGCAGCGACGCCGCGUGAGUGAAGGAGCGUUUCGGUGUGUAAAGCCCUAUCGGCAGGGAAGAAGAAGGACGUUACCUGUCUAAGAAGCCCCGCCUAAAUACGUGCCAGCACCGGCGGGAAGACGAAGGGGGCAACGGUUAUCCGGAUUUACUGGGUGUAAAGGGGGCGCAGACGGCAGCGCAAGCCAGGAGUGAAAGCCCGGGGCCCAACCCCGGGACUGCUGUUGAAACGGCGCGGCUAGAGUGCAGGAGGGGCAGGCGGAAUUCCUGGUGUAGCGGUGAAAUGCGUAGAUAUCAGGAGGAACACCAGUGGCGAAGGCGGCCUGCUGGACUGCGACUGACGUUGAGGCCCGAAAGCGUGGGGAGCAAACAGGAUUAGAUACCCUAGUAGUC